UUGCAAAACAAUCAUCCUUACCAUGAAAAGCACAAGUAGUGUUAACAUUUGUUUGCUUCAAUGAUAAAGGAAAAGUCAUUAGGAAGAAGGUAGGGAUAUACUCACAACUUUAGGCCCCUCUUUUUUCUUUUCCAUAUCCCUUUAUAUCAAUAGCAAAGUGGCUUUUCUUUUUAUAUAUAUGUUUUGUUGUGACCAGUUGAUUUGGGUUAGUAUGGAGGAACACGUAGUAGGUUGGAACAACUUGUUUCUUACGUUAGAUGAACAUUAUCCAGUGGUUUCUCAUUGCAAGAACAACUAAAUUGGAGGUUCAUCAUUCUACCCUUGUGUUUUCUACUAAAUGAAUUGAUGAGAUUCUCUUUUUGGUUUUCGGUGAGAGGGGGAUUAGUUCAUUUGGGAUCAAUAGGUGGUAGACCGCUGACCAUAAAGCCAACUUUAAAUGGUUGGUUUGCUAAAUUUCAGUUACUGAAGAACGUAAAUUACAAGGUCUCCCUACGAGGAGUACAGUGCAAUCUUUCUCAAGAAUAUCAUACAGAUUCUUUCUUACUUCAAUUCACCAUUACGUGUUUUAUCUCAAUUGACGUAUGUUAGAGGGAUUGUUAAGAGAAUCGGCUCAGGUAUGUUAAGGCUAUCCCUUCUUUCUUUUUUGCAUGAUUCAUACGAUACAAACGAAGCGAGAAAAUGCACAACUUCCAUAAAUGACUCUGUUCAUAGGUGUAUUAGAGGUGCCUAUGUUCUUGAAAUCCCCUAUAUCAUAUUAUUAUAUCAUUUGUUCAAGGGUCUCAUAAAAAUAUGUAAGUUCCAAAAGUUUAUUUUAUGAUACUAUUCAAAGGCAUAAUGAUCUUAUGACAUUCCGAAAGAUUUUAUUAACAUACUUCUCAUGCAUUGCAUUCAUUUACAUGUGCAUUUACCCAUGACUCAGAUGGCGGUAUAUACGCGUAUAUAUGUAUAUGGGAUAUGGAAAAAAGGUUACGGCGUUAUAUACGUACCACCACCUGAUCAGCUGGUAUACGAUAAUGAUGUUGCCCACAGUGGCUGAAAUAUGACUCAGACGACGUUAUAUACGUGUAUAUAUAUAUAUGGGAAAAGGUUACGGCGUUAUAUAUGCACCAUCACCUGAUCAACUGGUAUACGUUGAUGAUUUGCUCACAGUGGCCGAGAUGAUAUGAUGGGAUGCCCUUAGAGGCUUGAUGAUAUUAUGAAACAUGUACCUAUGUAUCAUAUGACAUUUAAACGCAUGUGCAUGACAUUAUAAAUAUGAUUUAAAGAGUUAUUCAAACUUACAGGUUGAGUCCUUUAUUCCAUAUUUCUUCCAUGCUAUUUAUAUAUUUAUUUACACGCCUUACCUACUCAAUACAAUAUUCGUACUGAUGUCUUUUUGUUGGGGAUGCUGCAUUCAUACCUGCAGGUAUAGACAUUCAGUUUGACGAGCCCUCAAAGUAGACGAGGUCAACAUUCAACGAAGAAUCGGUAAGACUCCAUCUCAUUCGGAGUGCAGCCGAGUUUUAUGAGGCAUCGUGUCAUAAUUUUGCUACACACUUAUGUGUAGGCUGGUACCCUGUCCCAUUUGAUGUCAAAUAAUCUUAGAGAUUUUGUAGACAGAGGUUCAUUUUGUGUGGUACGUCAAAGGCCUUGACGGCCAUAUGUAUUCAUGUUUUAAGAACGAUGGUUCAGUAAUAUAAUAUUUUUCCACUUACAAUUGUACAUUACGACUUACAGAGUGGUUUGCUGGGCCACUACGGCAUCGGGUUCCAGCCACGCCUCCCCAGGUUUGGGGCAUGAUAGAAAUUGCGAGACCAGGCUUCGCAAUUGCAAAGUUCUCAGGCUUGGUAAUUGCGACCCAGGCGUCGUAAAUGCGAACCAAGCCUGGGCAGGCCUUGAUCGCAAAUGCGACCCUUUAUCGCAAAUGCAAAAAGGGCUGAGUCGCAAAUGUGACUAAUUCUUCGCAAAUGCAAAGAUAGCAGGUUCCAAAGGGGUUCACAAUUGCGAGCCCUGGUCGCAAUUGCGACAUCUGCAACCAGUUAAUUGGGAUUUUGACGGGAUUUUAUUCAAUUUUACAACUCUUCAAACCGAAAAAACAUCUUGGGCGAUUUUUCAAAGACAUCAACUUCUCCAAAUCAUUAGUAAGUUAUUUUCAACUUAUUUUCUUCAAUCUACAACAUCUUUUCACAUGAUUUCAAUUCAAAAUCAAGGGUUUUUCAUGAGAAAUUUGGUGAUUUGGGUAGAACUUAGGAUUUUCAAAUUUUGGGGAUUUGGACCUCGAUUUGAGGUCCAAUUUUAAAACAAAUUAUAUGUUUUAGUUCGUGGGGGAAUGAUUAAUCGGGUUUUGGUUCGAACCUCGGGUUUUGACCAUGUGGACCCGUGGUCGAUUUUUGACUUUUUGGGGAAAUCAUUAGAAAACCUAUUUUCAUGCAUUAGAAUUGAUUCAUUUAGCAUUUAUUGAUAUCGUUAAGUAAAUUGUAGCUAGAUAUAAGUGAAUUGGUGGUGGAAUCGAGGGGUAAAGCGGUAGUUG
rnacentral:lncRNA from 1 species